rnacentral:lncRNA from 10 species
AUGAACUCAUUACGCAUAUGAGAGUGAAACAUCAUGGAAGUGGAUCCUCUAGCCCCAGAUGAAAUGUUGAGCUGGUUGGCUCCUGUCACAUGGUAUAGAGCAGAGUCCAUUUGCAAUACACAAGAAGAGAAGCAUAACAUCAACCUGGUGACAAAUAGAGAUUGUGUGUUUACUACAGUCUGAAGAAACUUUGUCCUCUUCCCACUUUUUUCCAGAAUGGGCAGAAGGAGUCACUGAACAAAAACGAAUCUAAGCAUCAAUUCUGGCUUUAGAACUGCCUUGUCCUGCCUAGAGAAGACCUAAGGGCAGGGAAAAUCUCCCAGUAUCGGAUGAGACCUUAAUAAACCCUACAAGCCAA